CUGCUCGCUUCAGCAGCACAUAUACUAAAAUUGGAAUGAUACAGAGAAGAUUAGCAUAGCCCCUGCGCAAGGAUGACAUGCAAAUCCGUAAAGUGUUCCAUAUUAAA
ensembl:snRNA U6 U6 spliceosomal RNA